rnacentral:lncRNA from 1 species
CCGGGACAGUUUCCAGUCGGCUUCUCCGUGACCUUCCUCCCCCUUCCAGCUCGGAGCGGGAUGCUGGGAUCCCUCCAAGGACCCUCUGAGGACGUAGGAGGGAUGCUGAGACAGGGCCAGCUUCAAACCUUGUCAAGCUCUGACAAGGGAAGAUGAAGCCUAGUUCCAGCUAGGGGUGACCUGUCUAUCUGCAUUUUUUGAGCUGCAGAGUGAUGGGAGUCAUAUUCGCUGCCUGUGCAGCACCACAGGCCUGAUGAAAAUGAAAUGGCAACACCGUGCAGAUGGCAAAGCGUAGGCCUCACAAACAUCCUGGCCGUGAAGGUGCUUGUCUUCAAGAGUAGCUGGUGCAGAAACUCGGUCGGACUGACCUGGAAGAAGACCCUGAGGAGAACCCGGGCACACAGCAGCCAUUCCAGUCCUCAGCUUCAAGGGGGCUCACGAAGGUUGUGGAUCCUUGCCCAGCCUGCAGUGGGGACCUGGUGUGGCAUUGAGUGGCUGUGAGUGCUCAGUGUCCCCCAUCUCAUGCUAAGCACAGCGAAGUAGGGGGAGAUUGCGUAGUGUGCUGAUGGAGCAGUUGCCUCCACCUGGCUGCGUGUCCCUCCGUCAUGUGACAGGAAAGAAGAAGGCAAUGGUGUUUUUCUGUAGCAAGUCACUAUUUAUGGAAGAGGAGACCCUUUAUCUGCAUCGCAAUUCUGAAGAUU